CGAACGGUGAGUAAUAUAUCGGAACGUACCUUCAGUGGGGAUAACGUAGCGAAAGUUACGCUAAUACCGCAUAUUCUGUGAGCAGGAAAGCAGGGGAUCGCAAGACCUUGCGCUGAUUGAGCGGCCGAUAUCAGAUUAGCUAGUUGGUGAGGUAAAGGCUCACCAAGGCGACGAUCUGUAGCGGGUCUGAGAGGAUGAUCCGCCACACUGGAACUGAGACACGGUCCAGACUCCUACGGGAGGCAGCAGUGGGGAAUUUUGGACAAUGGGCGCAAGCCUGAUCCAGCCAUGCCGCGUGAGUGAAGAAGGCCUUCGGGUUGUAAAGCUCUUUCGGCCGGGAAGAAAUCGCACAGGUUAAUACCCUGUGUGGAUGACGGUACCGGAAUAAGAAGCACCGGCUAACUACGUG
rnacentral:rRNA from 1 species